AUUGAACGCUGGCGGCCUGCCUAACACAUGCAAGUCGAACGAGUGGCGGACGGGUGAGUAAUGUCUGGGAAACUGCCUGCUGGAGGGGGAUAACUACUUGAAACGGUAGCUAAUACCGCAUACCAUCGGAUGUACCCAGAUGGGAUUAGCUAGGAGGUGGGGUAAUGGCUCACCUAGGCGACGAUCCCUAGCUGGUCUGAGAGGAUGACCAGCCACACUGGAACUGAGACACGGUCCAGACUCCUACGGGAGGCAGCAGUGGGGAAUAGUGCACAAUGGGAGGAAGCCUGAUGCAGCCAUGCCGCGUGUAUGAAGAAGGCCUUCGGGUUGUAAAGGACUUUCAGCGGGGAGGCGUUACCAGCAGAAGAAGCACCGGCUAACUCCGUGCCAGCAGCCGCGGUAAUUC
rnacentral:rRNA from 1 species